AUAAGCCACCGAAAGGUGGUCUAAUACCUUAUAGUAUCCAUCUCGUAUGGAUUAAAGCUUUAUGCGCUUUGGGAGGGGCCUGCGUUUGAUUAGCUAGUUGGUGAGGUAAAAGCUCACCAAGGCGACGAUCAAUAGCUGGUUUGAGAGGAUGACCAGCCACACUGGGACUGAGAUACGGCCCAGACUCCUACGGGAGGCAGCAGUAAGGAAUCUUCCACAAUGGGGCAACCCUGAUGGAGCAAUACCGCGUGCAGGAUGAAGCGUUUCGGCGUGUAAACUGCUUUUAUCACCGAAGAUUAUGACUGUAGGUGAAGAAUAAGGACCGGCUAACUACGUG
rnacentral:rRNA from 1 species